UACGUAGGGUGCAAGCGUUGUCCGGAAUUACUGGGCGUAAAGCGUGCGUAGGUGGUUUGUUAAGUCUGAUGUGAAAGCCCUGGGCUCAACCUAGGAAUUGCAUUCGAUACUGGCGGGCUAGAGUACGGUAGAGGGCGGCGGAAUUCCGGGUGUAGCGGUGAAAUGCGUAGAUAUCCGGAGGAACACCGAUGGCGAAGGCAACCGCCUGGGCCUGUACUGACGCUGAGACACGAAAGCGUGGGGAGCAAACAGG
rnacentral:rRNA from 1 species